CAAGAGUGGAUCGGCCCUGGGACGGCUUACAAUGGCAGGGGCUUCUCAAGGGACUCAGGAGCCCCCAAAAGCAACCAUGUGAGGCAGAAAAGAGAGAAAAAGAAGGAACUAUUUGGAAACUGGCUUUUACUAGGUCUGUGAUUACUUAAGAAAAUUGAGUCUCCCCAAUAUUAAAAGAGGACACAAUUGAAAACACUGGCUACAUCACCAAGGCUGGAAUGUUAUAUUGAUUGGAAUGUUAUAUUUUCUAAUACGACCAGACAGCUUAAGGAACUAAAAUUGACUUUGAAGAGCCUGGGAAGACAGCUUGGAAAACUGUUUCAAACCUUACCAAUGAGAAAGGAAUGUCACUUCCUGACAAGUCCAGAAAUCUUAGAUAUUUGGGGGACCUCAAGAAAAGAGGAAUUUGCCAAAUCUAUAAGUGUUACAGAUGAAACCUGUUGGCAAGUCCUUGGCCUGGCUUCCUUACCUUCAGAGGCUUCUACCAGUUCAAUCUGAGAUUCCUUUUAUUUUCUUUUUUGAGACGGAGUCUCGCUCUGUCCCCCAGGCUGGAGUGCA
rnacentral:lncRNA from 1 species